rnacentral:rRNA from 1 species
GAUGAACGCUGGCGGCGUGCCUAAUACAUGCAAGUCGAGCGAACAGACGAGGAGCUUGCUCCUCUGACGUUAGCGGCGGACGGGUGAGUAACACGUGGAUAACCUACCUAUAAGACUGGGAUAACUUCGGGAAACCGGAGCUAAUACCGGAUAAUAUAUUGAACCGCAUGGUUCAAUAGUGAAAGACGGUUUUGCUGUCACUUAUAGAUGGAUGCGCGCCGCAUUAGCUAGUUGGUAAGGUAACGGCUUACCAAGGCAACGAUGCGUAGCCGACCUGAGAGGGUGAUCGGCCACACUGGAACUGAGACACGGUCCAGACUCCUACGGGAGGCAGCAGUAGGGAAUCUUCCGCAAUGGGCGAAAGCUUGACGGAGCAACGCCGCGUGAGUGAUGAAGGUCUUCGGAUCGUAAAACUCUGUUAUUAGGGAAGAACAAAUGUGUAAGUAACUAUGCACGUCUUGACGGUACCUAAUCAGAAAGCCACGGCUAACUACGUG